rnacentral:rRNA from 1 species
UACGUAGGGUGCGAGCGUUAAUCGGAAUUACUGGGCGUAAAGCGUGCGCAGGCGGUUGGUUAAAUCUGAUGUGAAAGCCCCGGGCUCAACCUGGGAAUGGCAUUGGAAACUGGCUGGCUAGAGUGUGGCAGAGGGGGGUGGAAUUCCGCGUGUAGCAGUGAAAUGCGUAGAGAUGCGGAGGAACACCGAUGGCGAAGGCAGCCCCCUGGGCUAGCACUGACGCUCAGGCACGAAAGCGUGGGGAGCAAACAGG